rnacentral:rRNA from 1 species
GAUGAACGCUGGCGGCGUGCUUAACACAUGCAAGUCGAGCGAAGCAGUUAAGAAGAUUUUUCGGAUGAAACUUGAUUGACUGAGCGGCGGACGGGUGAGUAACGCGUGGGUGACCUGCCCCAUACCGGGGGAUAACAGCUGGAAACGGCUGCUAAUACCGCAUAAGCGCACAGAGCUGCAUGGCUCAGUGUGAAAAACUCCGGUGGUAUGGGAUGGGCCCGCGUCUGAUUAGGCAGUUGGCGGGGUAACGGCCCACCAAACCGACGAUCAGUAGCCGGCCUGAGAGGGCGACCGGCCACAUUGGGACUGAGACACGGCCCAAACUCCUACGGGAGGCAGCAGUGGGGAAUAUUGCACAAUGGGGGAAACCCUGAUGCAGCGACGCCGCGUGAGCGAAGAAGUAUUUCGGUAUGUAAAGCUCUAUCAGCAGGGAAGAUAAUGACGG